CUAGCGACUUCAGAGUUUGAUCCUGGCUCAGGACGAACGCUGGCGGCGUGCCUAACACAUGCAAGUCGAACGGGGAUUUUGUUUCGGCAGAAUCCUAGUGGCGAACGGGUGAGUAACGCGUAGGCAACCUGCCCUCCGGCCGGGGACAACACUCCGAAAGGGGUGCUAAUACCGGAUACGAAGUCUGUGCCGCAUGGUACGGAUUUGAAAGAUGGCCUCUAUUUAUAAGCUAUCGCCGGGGGAUGGGCCUGCGUCCGAUUAGCUGGUUGGUGGGGUAACGGCCUACCAAGGCGACGAUCGGUAGCCGGUCUGAGAGGAUGAACGGCCACAUUGGGACUGAGACACGGCCCAG
rnacentral:rRNA from 1 species